UACGUAGGAGACGAGCGUUGUCCGGAGUUACUGGGCGUAAAGCGUGCGCAGGCUGUUCUGUAAGUCAGAUGUGGAAUCCCCGAGCUCAACUUGGGAACUGCGUUUGAAACUACAGGACUAGAAUAUGUCAGAGGGGGGUAGAAUUCCACGUGUAGCAGUGAAAUGCGUAGAGAUGUGGAGGAAUACCCAAUGGCGAAGGCAGCCCCCUGGGAUAAUAUUGACGCUCAUGCAC
rnacentral:rRNA from 1 species